ACAAAGGCGUGGGCAGCUGCACAGCUAGGGUUCCCUAGAGAGCCAGAGCCCAUAGUACGUACGUAUUGUAAAAGGUGGUUUAUCCACUUGAAAACUGGGGCGUCCGGCAACAGCCCCAUUAUAUGAUACAGUGACAGAGACCUGAGAGGCUUCUCAACCCAAAAGGCUGGAGGCUCCAUUGUCUGUCUCUCCAACACCGAGGCCGGAAGUUCCUCGGAUCCAGAAGAAACUAAGAGUCUGAGCCCGCAGGCAGGUGAUUGAUGGCAGCUGUGGCGGGAGUUUGUACUUGGGAAACCAGAGCUAUGUGCUCAGAUAUUUGUUGUGGCAGGAAGAAAGCUGACUGAAGGAAUCUCCACUAUGAUAACUCAAUGGCACGAGCAACAAAGAAAAGAGAUCAAGCUGACCGGUGGGACUUAAGAGCAUGAGGGCUUGAAAGACUCAAGAGUGUGAAGACACCUUGCGGAAGAGGUGGCCUAGCUGCAAAUUACACAUCUACUGGUGGACUCCAUCUGACAAAGGACUCAGGACUCAGAAAAGACAAGAGGGACAAAAGAUGAGCAGAAAGCUCUCCAGCAACCAAAUGGCCAGCCAGUAGGAAUAAGAGCAGGUGCGAAGCCUCAUUAGCCUCCAGGGGAGUGAAAUCAAAGCCUGCGGAGAGGUCCCCUUCUACUAGGAUGGUGCAGUUCCAAAAGUUCUAGAAGUGUUGGUGAGGAAGAAGGGUCUGAACUCUGCUCGUGCUCCUCAGUGAAUACUGAUCACACCUCUCCAAACGCCAACUGGAGCGGUUCAUUGCCAUAGGCCACGAUGCUGGGGUUUUCUAUAUACCUCCUUGUGAAGCCAGCAGCAGCAAUGAAGAGCACUAAAGACACCUCCGCUUGGUCCCCCCGCUACAUACUACACCAACAAUAACUGUGCUUUGUGGGAGUUUUGAUGACCUGCUAGACCUGCACAGUGCAUCUAUCUAGCUGUCAAGGAUUCCUAUGGUCUCUGACGAUGUCAUGGAGUUUGUCCAGGAAAGGUAAAGACAGCCUGCACCUCCUCAGUAAAUGUGUGCCUAAACGCAGCCUUUUCACAUGUCUUGUAGAAUCUGUUACACUGGUUAUCUUUUUUGGUAAACACUAAAAGUAUCUGAAGAUGGUCUUGAUGAAAUAUCAUCACGCCAAUUGCACAUCAGUUACUGAUACCUUCAAGGUGCUGCUCUUGUGAGGCUGAGGCUCCACGGAUCCUGGCACAGCCAAAGCUGGGUGCAGUGACCACCACCAUCUAGACCGCGCGUCCUCGUCCUCACUGAGGAUGCUUGCUUUUAAUCUCAGCACUUGAGAGGCAGAGGCAGGUGGAUCUCUAAGUUUGAGGCCAGUUGAGUCUACAGAAUGAGAUCCAGGACA